rnacentral:rRNA from 1 species
GAUGAACGCUGGCGGCGUGCCUAAUACAUGCAAGUCGAGCGAACGGACGAGAAUCUUGCUUCUCUGAUGUUAGCGGCGGACGGGUGAGUAACACGUGGAUAACCUACCUAUAAGACUGGGAUAACGUCGGGAAACCGGAGCUAAUACCGGAUAAUAGUGUGAACCGCAGGGUUCAAAAGUGAAAGACGGUCUUGCUGUCACUUAUAGAUGGAUCCGCGCUGCAUUAGCUAGUUGGUAAGGUAACGGCGUACCAAGGCAACGAUGCAUAGCCGACCUGAGAGGGUGAUCGGCCACACUGGAACUGAGACACGGUCCAGACUCCUACGGGAGGCAGCAGUAGGGAAUCUUCCGCAAUGGGCGAAAGCCUGACGGAGCAACGCCGCGUGAGUGAUGAAGGUCUUCGGAUCGUAAAACUCUGUUAUUAGGGAAGAACAUAUGUGUAAGUAACUGUGCACAUCUUGACGGUACCUAAUCAGAAAGCCACGGCUAACUACGUG